GUCCGUCUAAGAGGAUGUGUGGCGCGGCAGCUGCUGACUCUCUGCCUCCUCCCACCGGUCGUCUCUGGGUUCUGGCUGCGGAGAUCGCCUACUUCCACGUCCAAACGCUGGUUCCAACGUCGCCCGUCUGCAGACUAAAGAGCAGAGCUGUCGUUAUCCCAGUGGAGCCAGGAGUUCAGACGUGGAUCGAUUGGCUGCUGUGGAGAACACGGGCCUCAGCCGGCAGCUUCCAGCUGGAGCGGAGCUGCAUCUGCAGGAGAGCUCAUUGUUCUGCUCCCACGGCGCUUCAUCUCUCACGGUGUCGCCUUCCUGCCUGCAUGAAGCGCAGAGCUCUGCGUGCUCACAUACUGUGGAUGUUGUGGGUCUACAACAUAGUGUUUACUCAGGAUGUUGUGUAUGUGUGAAAACCACAAUACCAAUAGAAGGAUGCUGGCGUGCACAGAGAAUUACCCAAAAAAGCUGCUGCAGAGGCUAAACAUGAUGCAAAUGAUGACCUCACAAAGCAGAGCAGAUGUGCAUUGGGCCUGGUUCUGUAAGAGCCCUGCAUCAUUUUAUAAGAGGAAGUGUCUGACUAAUAACUUUAUAUAAGGUCAACAAUUAUGACAUCAAGCAUUAAAGAGUGUGCCUGGUCGACACUGACCUCUAGUGCAGACUUGGAGAAUGUGCGAGCAGAGCGGAGGCUACAGACUCGCAGCUGGAGGUUGUGAGGACGUUAUUAGUAGUUGCAGGGUGUUUAUUUAAGGCUGAUGUCCAACUAAAACACUCUCCGCAUCAGUGGGAAAGCGUUUACAGGCAACAUUAUCUGCACAUUAUAGAGAAACUAACCCGACGUCACCACGUGGCCAAUUGAAGGUACUACAACGCUUAUUAAAGAGGGAUGACAGUGUUCUAAAACAUUGUUUCCUCAUUAUAAUAUACUUACUUAUUGUGCAUUAGACAGAGUAUGAACCAGAAGGACUCACACCAGACAAACCCUGGAUUAUUCUGCUAUGUUGUGUCAAGAUUUUAUUUGACAGCAUUUCAGAAUCUCUUACAGGUAAACAAGAUUUUUGCAAAAGUUAAUAUAUCCAUAGUGUUGCAUUUCAUAAAAAUAGUUGCUGCACUUACAGUCUUUGUGACCAUCAAUAGUACACGGAAUCAUAUUUAUAGAUAUUUGUUCUGGGUCUACACACUGCUAUAAACACUACACAGUGAUAGUGAGCCGCUUGGUUCACGCGUGCGUCCGUAUCUCCACACACGCCGCUAGGUGCCGUUUUUUUUUUCUUCUUGCUUCCCAUAGAAAACUAUGUACAAUUUGGCUCAAUGGAGACAGCUCAGAGGUGGAAAGCAGCGAGUUGUGCAAAGGCAGAGAAAGAAAACUAGGAAAAUCAAAUUGAAUCUAAAUUACACACGUAUUGUCGCCACAAAAUAAAUGAGCAGUCUGGUGGAACGGGC